CUCUGUGGAUAUGAGUAUGUCAGGGAAGAAGGAG
rnacentral:ncRNA from 1 species